rnacentral:rRNA from 1 species
AAGGAUUCCCCUAGUAACUGCGAGUGAAGCGGGAAAAGCUCAAAUUUAAAAUCUGGCAGUCUCUGAUUGUCCGAGUUGUAAUUUAGAGAAGUGUUACCCGUGUUGGACCGUGUACAAGUCUCCUGGAAUGGAGCGUCAUAGAGGGUGAGAAUCCCGUCUUUGAUACGGAUCCCAAUACAUUGUGGUACACUCUCGAAGAGUCGAGUUGUUUGGGAAUGCAGCUCUAAAUGGGUGGU